AUACUUUUUUUUAAAAAAACAACAGGGGGUAUUCCCCAUUUCUCUCUAAAGUAGGCCCUAGGGUUCCAUUAGCCUCCAUCGGCCUCCCAUCGUACUGGCGACGAUGACCACCUCUGGUGGUGGCCAGAGAGACGCCCGGAGCCCGAUUUAAACCCUUCUUUCACAUGGAAGAAAGUUCAGGACCUCAAAACCCCUAAAUCAAACACAAAACUUCCAACUCUUAGCCUCCUCCAUCGAAGCUUUAACCGGAUCCCUAGGGAUCCGUCGGCUUUCAGACCAGAGAAGCAAACGCUGAGGAUAUCAACGCCAAAAUACGGGUUUGUGGGAGCGUUGCAACAGAGAAGGUGUUGACAUCACGUGAGGAGCUUCGCGGCGCAAAGGCUAGGGGCUAAGGUUUUCUCAUCCGAAAAUUUGUUUAAGUUUUGGGCCAUGGGCCUUCUAUUUUUUUGGGUUAGGGUUUGGGCCCAUUUUAAAAAAACUUAGACUGAUAAAUUUUAUUAAAAGCCUGGAUAAAAUUAGGCUAUUACAAUAAUUAUUUGACUGGUUUUCAUA